CCCAACCCACACACACACGCUGUAUGGGGAAGGCCCGAGAGCAGCUGCAGCAGAGAGGGAAUAAAGGGGUCAAGAUAGAGGAACUGGGCUGGGCCAGACUCCACUAAGCCAGACUUUACUAAGCCAACUCUCCAGACCCAGCACCAUUCCCGACCCUGAGGACUCUACAUGGGUAUCUGAGGCAUGAAUGCUGGCUGAAGGUCAACCCAGAUAAGACAGAAUCAGUGCUAGUAAAAGGGGGUAGCAAACUGAAGACAUGUCGAAGACUAUAUCUCCAUCUUUAACUGAAGAUGUGACCUCACCAUUUAUGACUUCGGUUUAUAAUCUGGAGAAAGAAUCUCACCUCCUCAUCAGAAAGUCAGAAUCUACAAUUAAUCUACAAUAUAAUAGGAAGAAAGGAAACCCAUUCCUUAUGUGAAAAAAUUGAACAGAUGUUCAUGAAGAUUUACAACAGAAGCUAGGAUUGUUGGGGUUUUUUACAUCUAUUAAAGACGAUG